ACCAUCCAACUCCCUUUGCUCUCCUGAAAACCACCUUAUCAAUCUUCAGUAAACAAAUCUUACAACCAAUAGUUUACAAGUAAGAAGAAGAAGAGUAUUAUCCAAACCAUUUUCUUUUCUUGUAUAUCUCCAAGUAUUGCCUUGAGAAAGAUUAUUCUUAAUUUUUGCUAAGUGUUUGGUCUUUGUUGUUAACCACAGAAGCAAAUAAUGAUGGAGAGGAGACUCCCCUUUUAUAGCCACAAAAAUGAAUGAAAGAGAGCUAGCACCGACCUUCCACUAUAUGUGAUUUGAGACAUAUCACAAAAACGUGAAGUCUUUUAGAGAUAGGUUCAUCACACUUUAUUUCCCAACUUUCCACCAUUUCUUUACUUAUAUUUUGAAAAUUAUUUUGGCACUAUUUUUUUUAUUUUUUUUUUGUAUUUUUUCAUUUGUUG
rnacentral:lncRNA from 1 species